AAUAAGCAUUAGUAAACACUUCUUUCAGAAGCACUUUGGAGUUUGCAGAAAUGAAGUAGGAAAAUGCAGAAAAUUAUAAAGAGAUAAUAAUACAAGGGGUAACAGGUUAAAACUUAAACCAGGGGAAUUUAGAUUGGAUAUAAGGAAGAAGUUCUUUACUGUUAGGGUGGUGAGGCACUGGAAUGGGUUGUCCAGGGAAGCUGUGAAUGCUCCAUCCCUGGCGGUGUUCAAGGCCGGGUUGGACAGAGCCUUGGAUGACAUGGUUUAGUGUGAGGUGCCCCUGCCCAUGGCAGGGGGGUUGGAACUAGAUGAUCUUAAGGUCCUUUCCAACCCUAACUAUUCUAUGAUUCUAUGUUUUCCCAAGCUUUCAAAGCUAUGGCAUUUCUGGGUUUGUUUUGCCGUAGGGACAUCUUGAGGAGAACUUACGUCUUUAACAAGUACAAGAAAAAGGAAAGUUGGCAAGAGUAACCUAAAGAACUACAGCUCUCAGUGUAAGAGUAAGAUGUUAAGUUGAACUUUACUUGUGCAAUGGGUGCUCCAAAUAAAUAAUUAAAGUAUUUGCAUUAACCUAAGCUUUAAAAAAAAAAGCCAUACUCUUAUGAGUGUUUGAGUCCUUUAAAAUUAAAUUAAGAACUACUCUUGACAACGUCGUCACUCAGAAUCUUUUACUGACAAAUGCAGAAAAAAUGAAAAUGUCAAUCUGAUUCACUUUCUUUUAAAAAUAAAAUUAAAAAAACUCCCAAACCAAACUAAAGCAACCACAACAAAAUCCAACCGACUAAAUAAACAAACCAGAAAGUGGAAAUAACUUGAACCUGAAGCUUCUGAGUUGAGAGUGCUGAAAGCAGUGUUCUAGCUUUAUUUGACGUCAAUAAUUCCAAGAAAUUUUUUUAGCUGCAGAGAUAUUUUAAAAAUACUACCUCUAGGGAUAUGGAAAUGGUUGAAAGUAUAGAAGUGUCUGGAAAUAUUUCUUUGCACAAGAAAUAACUAAAGAUGUCACUUUACCUAAAACUGAAUCUUACAAAUACUUAUGAACAUGACAACUGACUCUGUAAUGCAUGUUCUGAUGUGCCAAAGUCUUCAUGUGUGCAAGUGUCAAAAGGUCUGAAGAUUCGUGCUUUUACCAUGAUAAUCCCUUGAAUAGA